rnacentral:rRNA from 1 species
AUGAACGCUGGCGGCGUGCCUAAACAUUCCAAGUCAGCGGAAAGACGGGGAGCUUGCCCCCCUGACGUUUGCGGCCGGAGGGGGAGGUACCAGUGGGUAACCCUCCCUUUAAAACGGGAAAACCUCGGGAAACCCGGGCCUAAUACGGAUAAAAUAUUUAACCGCCUGGUUUAAAUGGUAAAAGAGGGUUUUGCUUCAACUUAUGGAUGAUUCCGCGCCGCAUUAGCUAGUUGGUAAGGUAACGGCUUACCAAGGCGACGAUGCGUAGCCGACCUGAGAGGGUGAUCGGCCACACUGGAACUGAGACACGGUCCAGACUCCUACGGGAGGCAGCAGUAGGGAAUCUUCCGCAAUGGGCGAAAGCCUGACGGAGCAACGCCGCGUGAGUGAUGAAGGUCUUCGGAUCGUAAAACUCUGUUAUUAGGGAAGAACAAAUGUGUAAGUAACUAUGCACGUCUUGACGGUACCUAAUCAGAAAGCCACGGCUAACUACGUG